AUGCAGUCGACGCUUCUUUUUCCACCGGAGCUUGCUCCACCGGAAAAAGAGGACGUGGCGAACGGGUGAGUAACACUGUGGGUAACCUGCCCAUCAGAACUGGGGAUAACACUUGGAAACAGGUGCUAAUACCGUAUAACAAUCGAAACCGCAUGGUUUUGAUUUGAAAGGCGCUUUCGGGUGUCGCUGAUGGAUGGACCCGCGGUGCAUUAGCUAGUUGGUGAGGUAACGGCUCACCAAGGCGACGAUGCAUAGCCGACCUGAGAGGGUGAUCGGCCACAUUGGGACUGAGACACGGCCCAAACUCCUACGGGAGCGCAGCAGUAGGGAAUCUUCGGCAAUGGACGAAAGUCUGACCGAGCAACGCCGCGUGAGUGAAGAAGGUUUUCGGAUCGUAAAACUCUGUUGUUAGAGAAGAACAAGGAUGAGAGUAACUGUUCAUCCCUUGACGGUAUCUAACCAGAGGAAGCCACGGCUAACUACGUGCCAGCAGCCGCGGUAAUACGUAGGUGGCAAGCGUUGUCCGGAUUUAUUGGGCGUAAAGCGAGCGCAGGCGGUUUCUUAAGUCUGAUGUGAAAGCCCCCGGCUCAACCGGGGAGGGUCAUUGGAAACUGGGAGACUUGAGUGCAUGAAGAGGAGAGUGGAAUUCCAUGUGUAGCGGUGAAAUGCGUAGAUAUAUGGAGGAACACCAGUGGCGAAGGCGGCUCUCUGGUCUGUAACUGACGCUGAGGCUCGAAAGCGUGGGGAGCAAACAGGAUUAGAUA
rnacentral:rRNA from 1 species